UACCCGCUGAAUUUAAGCAUAUCAUUAAGCGGAGGAGAAGAAACUAACCAGGAUGCCCCUAGUAAUGGCGAAUGAAGCGGGCUGAGCUCACGCCGCCAAUCUGGAGGUCCGUCCUUCGCGGAGUCGACCUUCCGAAUUGUAGUCUAGAAAGGCGCCAUCGGCCGCGUCCGCCGCUCAAAUCCCCUGGAACGGGGUAUCGGAGAAGGUGAGAAUCCUGUGCCGUGGCGGUUCGCGGUCGCACGAUGCGUCCUUGCAGAGUCGGGUUGCUUGGGAUUGCAGCUUGAAUUGGGUGGUAAAUUCCAUCUAAAGCUAAAUACUGGCGAGAGACCGAUAGCGAACAAGUACCGUGAGGGAAAGAUGCAAAGAACUUUGAAAAGAGAGUUAAAGAGUGCUUGAAAUCGGCAAGAGGAAACCCGUUUGCGCCCGGUGUCGCGCGUCCGACUCAGCCUCCGUUUGCGCGGGGGUGCACUUUGGUCGCGCGGGUCAUCUCGCGCGCGUUGGGCGUCACACACUGUCGGGCGAGGCCUCUGGCGAGCCCGGCUGGAUGGCGCGCGGCGCGCGCCGGCUGACGGUAACGGGCAGCAACCGACCCGUCUUGAAACACGGACCAAGGAA
rnacentral:rRNA from 1 species